rnacentral:lncRNA from 1 species
UAAAGCCUUUCCAUGUUGAAGUCAUCUUCAAACACAUGAAAGGAAUCAUACUGGAAAGAAACUAUGAGCGUAAUCAAUGUGGACAAGGCUUUAUAUGUCACUGUAGUCUUCUUAAUCACAAAACCAAUGUCAUAUGGAGAGGAACCCUACAAAUGUAAUUGAUGCAGUAAGCUUUGGCAUGUUUACUGAUUGUCAGGGCAACUGGAAAAAUUGCGGAUGGAGGUUGCAGAACUUGGGAAACUACACGCAUUGGAAAAGGGAGAACAAAAAGCCUCAGUCCAAGUGACUACACAAGACAGCAGGACUUUCUGACAGGAAUAAAAUGGGAAAGAAACUGCUCUGGAGGGUCC